UUUAUACAUAAAAAAAUGUAUUUAUUAUGGUGUAAUAAUUUUUAAUACAAUUAAACAAAUUUUCCAAAAGAAAAAUAGAAUAUCAUACAUUUUUAAUACAACAUAAUAUUUAAUGCCGUGGAUGGGCUGGUUUUCGUCACCAAUUCUCUCAAAUCGGGUGUCGUGGAAGAUAUGGCUACUGGCCAUUCUUUUUCCAUCACUAAAUCACGUGGAUAUUUUGUCUUUAAAUAGCUUCGGAAAGUUUCUGGAUGCGUGCAUACGUGUACUAUAUAACCCUUUUGCUGAUUCGUUUUAUUUUUCGAUACCAAUUCGGAUUUAUUUUUUGCUUCGUCUCAAAAAUGAUGACUGAUUUUGGCUAAUUCUCGCGCUAGCGCCCCACAGUUUGAAAACACUGCCUUAAGGGAAAACAAUUAUUGAGCUUUCUAAAGUCCCAAAGAGGAAGAUAUAAAAACGACAUACGAAUAUGCCAUAUUGAUGUUGUUUAUUAUUUAAAUUCGAAAUAUAUGAUGUCUUAAAAAGUUACACAAUCUAUAUUAUUCAAGGUGUCUCCAAAGAUGGUGGCCAAACGUAACACGCUGGUCUGCCAUACCAUGACGAACAAGAUUUACAUGGGAACUUGUGUCCGAAAAUGUGAACGGCGACCGAUAGAGGGCGAUGUUCGCAGGCUUAUGGGA
rnacentral:lncRNA from 1 species